UAUAAAAAUGAAAUACUAUUGAGCCAUAAAUAAUAAGAAACUAGAGUCAUUCAUUCUUUUUUUUUUUUUUUUUUUUUUUUUGUACUGGGGAUCGAACUUAGGUCCUUGUCCUUGCAAGGCAGGUGCCAGAACCACUGAGCUAAAUCCUUGGCCCUUGAGGACAUACUCUUAAGUGAAAUAAAGAAGACACACAUGUGUAAAUACCGAACAGUUUCUCUGGUAUGAAAAACUAAAAGUGUAAAUAAAAUCCAAAUGGUAUAAUUGACAAUGUGAACUAGGAAGAAAAGGGCUAAAGGUGUAGGGAAAGUGGAAAGGGUAGGGGAAAGAAAAUAAGGGAAAAGAAAAAAUAUGCAAAAAUGAAAAAAUGGAAACAAAGUUUUUAUAAAUAGGGAAGGGUGGAGUGGGUGAAGGGAGGGCAGGGACAAGGGGAAAAAAAUGAGAAUAAGACCUGUCAUGUAAAGGUACAAGAGCCCAAUGAUGAAUGUAACUGUACUGUAUACCUAAAAUGUACCAAUAAACUCGAUGAGAAAAAAAAUAAAAGAACUGUUGCUCUUUGAGAAACUCAAGAUGGAAAUGAGGCUGGAGGAAAAACAAAUCAAAAAUACCUCUAAUUGAAAGCUCUAACAACCAAGUGUGCUGUGCUGUGCUGACCAGGACUUCUGUGAUACGGGGAAGGCUGCCACAGUUUGCCUUGAACAGCAAGAUUUUAAGUCCUUUCUACUUCCUGAGUGUGCUGCCUUCACUCUUUCUUUCAGUGCUUGUGUGCAGGGAGUGAAGAUUUUCCCAAGAAGAGAUCUGACAGUAAAUUUGACCCAUUCUUCGGUGACUCUGAACUUGGAGCUAAAGACAGGGCCACGUGGCUCCUAUUCCACGCAUAACCCUCAUCUGCACAAGGACUUGUCCUAGAGAAUAUGGUGGGAGAUUGUGGACAACCCUGCUGACUGCCUCUUUCAAGUUUUGACCACAGUCCUUAGCCUCAGCUCUCCAGCAGCUCCUCUGACCACGAUUACAGCCUCCUGGGCCACAUUUUAUUUAUGCCCUUUUCUAAAUGCCAGAGGAUUCUAGUUGGACUCAUCAAUCUCAAAUAAUCACUUCUGGCAGCUUGGGAUUCUUUUACUAUGCAUUUUUUAUCUUACAACUUAAAACUUUUUCUUCCCUAUCUUGCCCU
rnacentral:lncRNA from 1 species